GACGAACGCUGGCGGCGUGCUUAACACAUGCAAGUCGAACGGAAAGGCCCUGCUUUUGUGGGGUGCUCGAGUGGCGAACGGGUGAGUAACACGUGAGUAACCUGCCCUUGACUUUGGGAUAACUUCAGGAAACUGGGGCUAAUACCGGAUAGGAGCUCCUGCUGCAUGGUGGGGGUUGGAAAGUUUCGGCGGUUGGGGAUGGACUCGCGGCUUAUCAGCUUGUUGGUGGGGUAGUGGCUUACCAAGGCUUUGACGGGUGGCCGGCCUGGGAGGGUGACCGGCCACAUUGGGACUGAGAUACGGCCCAGACUCCUACGGGAGGCAGCAGUGGGGAAUAUUGCACAAUGGGCGGAAGCCUGAUGCAGCAACGCCGCGUGCGGGAUGACGGCCUUCGGGUUGUAAACCGCUUUCGCCUGUGACGAAGCGUGAGUGACGGUAAUGGGUAAAGAAGCACCGGCUAACUACGUG
rnacentral:rRNA from 1 species